GAUGAACGCUGGCGGCGUGCCUAAUACAUGCAAGUCGAGCGAACAGAUGAGGAGCUUGCUCCUCUGACGUUAGCGGCGGACGGGUGAGUAACACGUGGAUAACCUACCUAUAAGACUGGGAUAACUUCGGGAAACCGGAGCUAAUACCGGAUAAUAUAUUGAACCGCAUGGUUCAAUAGUGAAAGACGGUUUUGCUGUCACUUAUAGAUGGAUCCGCGCCGCAUUAGCUAGUUGGUAAGGUAACGGCUUACCAAGGCAACGAUGCGUAGCCGACCUGAGAGGGUGAUCGGCCACACUGGAACUGAGACACGGUCCAGACUCCUACGGGAGGCAGCAGUAGGGAAUCUUCCGCAAUGGGCGAAAGCCUGACGGAGCAACGCCGCGUGAGUGAUGAAGGUCUUCGGAUCGUAAAACUCUUUUAUUAGGGAAGAAAAAAUGUGUAAUUAAAAAUGCACGUCUUGACGGUACCUAAUCAGAAAGCAACGGCUAACUACGUG
rnacentral:rRNA from 1 species